GUGCAGUCAACCGAAAUGAAGCGUGACGACAAUUCAACGCCCACCAAUCAGCGCAUGGUACAGGAGCAGCGUACAUCCACCUCCAAGGAUUCUUGUCAACUGUGUCGUGAGAGUAAACGUCGCAGUCUGGCCGAGUAUAUACGUCGUAAGACCAGGCAGAAUUCCUGCACGGGAAUUCACGAGGAGGACGAGGAUCUCGAGUCUCAGGUUGUCGAAAGUCCUCAGAGCACAGGAAAGAAGGAGACGACGGCUGAGAGCAAAAGAUCUGAGACAUGCGAUCAAGCGAAGAUGAAGGAUACGAGUACAUAAUUGUGGGGAUGAACGUGGCGGAUUGAGACUCAAAUUUUAUGUUUUAAACGUAUCAGCGAAUACGGCUAAGGCAAUAAGAGUCGAAGGGACUUGAGAAAUAUUUAAAGGGAAAUAUCGCACUGUAAUGCAUUGAGGUGCCUUGAAUUGGACUUACAAGUAACUCGAGUCAUUCGUUCAAUGAGAAGAGUCCUCGGCAGACUUUUAGCAGCUUUAGUUUUUUUUUUUUUUUAAUACCACGUUGGUGACUUUAGUUGACCUUUGUUCAUCCUUUUGCAUGAGGUCACGCUUAUACUGUAAUGCGUUCCGGUACGAAGGUCGCUGAAGAUAUGCUAACCAGGAACGAGAGGCAAUUUCUUCCGUUUUGCACUGUACUUUUAUUAUUAUUUUCUUCAGGUAUUUUGAUUCUUCGCUUUUAUUUACGUACAAUAUCCGCAUAUCUCUGUGCUGAUAAUAAUCGAUGGAUGUACCUGGUUGGCAAAGCCUUAUGAUUAUUUAUGCUUAAGCUGUCGCGUAUAUUAGAAUAAGCAUUAAUUUCCAUUAAUUCAACAUUGUUAAGAAAUUGAUAUUCUAUCACUUACUUAAUAACUUUGCGGUAUUUUAUCAUAAUUUCAUGAUCUAUCAUUGCGUCUGUCGAUGUUGUUCACAAUCAUGCAGAAAUGCAAAAGACUGAUUAUAGAAUUUGUAUUGGGGAGUAAACGAAAGGAAUGCGAACGUCGAGACUCGCGUUUCUUUUCUUUUACUUUGCACAAAUUUGUACUUGGGCAGUCAAAUACGUUUUAUCUUUAGGAACAGGACAAUAAUGUAUAGCCGAUUCGAAUAACGAACAAACUUUCAUCGUGAAGCAAUUUACGGCUAGCCGUAUGUUUUUAAUUAUUCAACAGUAUAAUAAAUAUAAUAUUUAAGUUUCAAAUGAAGCUGAUUCACUGAGACUAAGCAUCUGUUUCCUCAUUUUUUUUUCAUUUACAAAGUUAAAUUAAUAAAUUUGAAAAGUCCACGUAUGGGUAUACGGGUGUUGCCUUUGUUCGUACAAGAUGUCUGGUGGACAGGAAAGAAGCAUCGUUUAUACUGAAUAAUAAAUAAAAACAAUAAAUUUUUACACAGCGGAAUUGCCAUCAAUUUCAUUGACAGAUAUGCAGAUAAUCUUAUAUUUCAACCAUGUAGGCAAAGAAGAUUAAAGGCAUAAAAGGUCGUCAUCUUGCGCUGAUAGCGUCAAGAUAAAUGACAGAGAUGGCGAGAGUGGUAUAUACGUAUGUAUAUGUCUGAGUUAGAUGAUAAACGAUAUGAUCAUAGAAACUUAUGUAAAAAAAAAGUUUCCAUAAGAAGCAAAACUGUGGGACAUAACCCAUACCACAUAUUUAAUUUAUCAAGCGACGAAAUUGCGCGGCGGAAGUUUACGACUUGGUCACUAAAAAUUUGAAUCGUGAAUCAUCGAGAAGGUUCCAGAAUGUCGUGCCGUACAAAUAGAUCUGAUAAUGAGGUAAUACGUAUGUAUAGAGAAAGCAGUGACCAAAAACAGCAACGAAGAAGCGGUCUGCGAAAGGAAUCGAUAUGACAGAAGAAUUUUCAAAGAAGGCGCUUGAAUUUUCUAAAGGAUACACUAAAGUGCGCAGUUUUGCACACGGUACUAGAGUCCCUCCAGUAAGAGUCCGGCCAACACCCGGAAGGGACGCCAUAUUAAGGGCAUAAUAUGACGGAGCCAAUCACUAACAAGCCCCACCGUUGGCCGGACUCUUACUAGAGGGACUCUACACGGUACCAGUCUACACAUGCGCCCUUUAAACGCACGGCACCACGAAUCCAUGUUACAAGAUAGCCUAGUGAACUGCAUUCAUUUGAUCUUAAAAAUAUUGAUACAAUUUUAGUUAUUUUUUCGUCAGAAACAUAAGAAAAAGAGAAGGGAGAGUGAGCGAAGAAUAUUUAACGUAAUAAAAUAUUAGUAUGGAUUACCAUGGACUCAAAAACUAUCAGUGAAAGUCCUCUCGCUUCGUGUAGCAUGGACUUGUUGGUGCCGUGUGCAAAGGCGGCGGGCUAUGCGCAACUUCUAUAAAAUUGAUAGCGAGGAGACCGGAGAGCGAAGUUUGUGUCAGCCAAUCUAAGUGAAGAUAAGCGAGUCUACGGUUACUGCUUUACCGACAGAAUGUUCUGGUCAACGUUGCGAGGCAAGGAUCCUCUGGCGGCCAAGGAAGGUGCGGCUAAAGAGAAGCCGAAGAAGAAGGGAUGUGGAAGAUGUGGGGAACGAUGCAAGAGAUGCGGGGAAAACUGUAAAUGCACAGUUAGAACUGUACUGAUACGGCCGCCUAUGUUCACUUUUUAUACGGAUAUGAUGCACUGACUCUAAAGUCGAAGAUUAUUUAUAAUUUAUAUUAAGCAUUACCUAGAAUACGAAUGAUAGGCCCAAAUUAUUUAUUAAUUAUUGACACGUAACGGCUGAAACUUAAUAGAAGUAUUUGUAGUUAUGAAUUUUAGGGGCGUUGGCAAUCUCUCGAGGCUUCUUGGCGUAAAAAGUGUUUCAAGUGUUUCUAUUGGCUAGUAUUGCUUCGACCGCUUCCCAACGAUUGACCCCCCAUUUCUUGAGAAUUUUUAUACUUACAUGUAUACACAUAUGUAUGUUUGUACAUAGCGUAAACAAAAAAUGGAUACUUAAUGUUCAUAUUAGAAUUAUUCAAUCUUUUAUACAUGUGUAAUAUACAAUUAUUAUUUAUUGAUAUA